GGAGGGGUGCAAACGUUGCUCGGAAUUACUGGGCGUAAAGCGCGUGUAGGCGGGUCUGUUAAGUCUUGUGUGAAAGCCCUGGGGCUCAACCCAGGAAGUGCACGGGAAACUGGCAGACUAGAGUGCGGGAGAAGAGGGCGGAAUUCCCGGUGUAGAGGUGAAAUUCGUAGAUAUCGGGGGGAACACCAGUAGCGAAGGCGGCUCUCUAGACCGACACUGACGCUCAGACGCGAAGGCGUGGGGAGCAAACAGGAUUAGAUACCCUGGUAGUCCACGCAGUAAACGAUGGAUACUAGAUGUUGGGGGCUUGACCCCUUCAGCGUCGCAGCUAACGCAUUAAGUAUCCCGCCUGGGGACUACGGUCGCAAGACUA
rnacentral:rRNA from 1 species